rnacentral:lncRNA from 1 species
UUUUUUUUAGGUGUGCAAGAUGGACUAUUUUGCCUCUUUUUGAAAUGUGUAACUUGGCAACCAUUGCUUCUCUUGAGAUUUGCAAGAUAGGACUUCUCGCUUCCUUUUUGAGAUUAGCAAGCUAGUAAGUUUGCCUCUUUUCGAAUUGUGCAAGCUAGCAAAUUUACUAUCUAGCAAGUUUUGCUCCCCCUUUGUUAUUGUCAAAUAGAAGGGAAUAAC